rnacentral:lncRNA from 1 species
AUGGAAAACUGGGCAGACCCAGUGUCAGGAGGAUGGGCUUCUGACACAACCAAGAAGGAGGGAAGAGAGAGGAACUCCAGCAUAGUUCAGGCUCUUUCUCCUCGAGGCUUGUCUUCAAACAGGUUUUCGCAGAUACCAGUGUGGGAGAGGAACACCCAGGGUUCUAGGCUGGAACCAACAAGCAUCACCAGGUUCCUUGGGCCCUGUCGUCCACUGAGGCAGCCCGGUGAGGAUCUCAGCUUUUCAGGAGGUAAAAUAAAAAGAGGGCUGACAGGGGCGAAUUCGGUGCUCUGGGGGUCUGAUUAAGGGUGGGAUUACAUGCUUUGGGAACAACUGUGGAGGAGGUGGAGUCUUGAAAGAUGGGUAUUUUGGGGCAUCUGGGUGACUCAGUCAGUUAACUGUCUGCCUUUGGCUCAGGUCAUGAUCCCAGGGUCCUGGGAUCGAGUCCCCCACAUCGGGCUCCCUGCUCAGCGGGGAGCCUGCUUCUCCCUCUCCCUCUGCUUCUCCUCCUGCUUGUGUUCUCUCUCUGUGUCAAAUAAAUAAAUAAAAUCUUUGAAAAAUAUUAAAAGAAAGAUGGGUAUUUCAAAAGGAGGGUGGUGAGUGGGGAACAGGGAGCGGGUCUUGUUUGGCUGGAACUGAGUACAGGCAGGAGCAGUGGCACCGGAAACCAAAAAAGAAUUUCUGCCUGCAAGGCACUUUGUAGUUUACAAAUCUCACCCACUCCCCACCUCAUCAGAUCCUCAAUACAACCCUGUGAGGUACAGGGCCAUUGAUGGUGAACUCAUUUCAUAGAAAAAUAAAACAAAAAGCAAAACGAAACUGGGAUUCAGAGUGGUUAGGUGACCUAUGCUAUGCCACAAAUAUGUGGCCAAGCUGGCAUUCUGACCCUGGUUUCUGUCUCCUGGCCUUCUUUUCCCUGACCAGGGUCAUACUGGGGGACCUGGGCAAUACUACAGUGUAAGUUUGAACUGAAGCAAUGGGGAGCCACAGAAAGGAUUUUAGAAGAGCUGUGGUCGGGGCACCUGGGUGGCGGUUGAGUGUCCGACUCUUGGUUUCACUCGGGUCAUGGUCUCAGGGUCAUGGGAUUGAGCCCUGCGUUGGGCUCCAUGCUUAGCAGAGAGUCUGCUUGGGAUUCUCUCCCUCUCCCUCUGCCCCUUCCCCUUCCCCUGCUCUCUCUCUCUCAUUCACUCUCUAAAAUAAAUAAAUAAAUCUUUAAAAAAUAAAUAAGAGCUGUGGUUAUCACAGGUGUGCUGGGCCUUGGGCACAUGUGCUGGUUGAGGGAGGCUGAGCACUGCAGUGGGGCUAUGUCGCUCUGAAAGAGAAAUCGGGGUGCUCUACAGGUCAUGCGGACAGGGCAGGGAGGGAGAGCACAGCUGAUGUGGGCCCUGCAGGGAAGAAUGGCGUUCAUUCAUUAAUUAAUUCAUUCAUUCUUCCAAUCUGUCUUUAGUAAGUACCUUCCCUGUGCUAAGUGUCAUGCUAGGCAUUGGGGAUGUAAUGGUGAACUUGACCACAGGGUCCCAGCCCUCACAGCACUUCAGGGGCUAGCAGAUCAUAAGGAACAAAUGAACAAGUACAAGAACUUCCAGUUGUGGUUUAACAUAGGAUCUACAGAAACAUGAGGACAUAUACCCAGUGUCAUGUGGUCCUCAGGGUGGCUUCUCUUGACUGCCCUGGCAAUCCCUGCCCCUGAGUGUAAUGCAGACUGUGUUCGGGGUCCUGUGGGGGUUCAGGGAAGGGAGGCAUCCUUCUUCCUGCUCAGAGUGAUCUGAGGAAGGCUUCAUGGAAGAAGAUGCAUUGAGGUUGGGCAUUCAUUCAACAAAUAUGUAAUGAGCACCUACUGAAUACCAGCUUCUGUUUUAUUUUAUUAUUUUUUUUUAAGAUUCUAUUUUUAAGUACUCUCUGUACCCAACAUAGGGCUCAACUCACAACCCUGAGAUCAAGAGUCGCAUAGGGACAAUCAUUGAACAAAAUGAAACAGACCAUGUUGUACCUUCUCAGAAUUACUGAAAAGAGGAUAGAUAAUAAACAAGAGAGAUAAGAAAAAUAUUAUUUCAGGGGGUGAUGAAUGCUCUGGAGACAAAUAAAUUGUGGAAGGGGAAUAGUGAGUGGAGGGAUGGAUACUACAUUCUUUGGUAGGCGGUUAGGAAAGGCUGCAUUGAGAAGAUAACAUUUGACUAAAGAUCUGAAAGAUGUGAGAGAGGGAGCCAUGAACUAUAUAUGGGAUGGGUGUUUCAGGUAAAGGGGACUGCAGUACAAAGGCCCUGAGGCAGGAUCUUUACUGGAUGUUUUCAGAGACAGCAAAGGGUUGAGUUCUUUAAAAGAAAAGGAUGUCAGCAGAGGGCAUUUGUGUGGCCUGUGGGGAGUUGUUGGUAGGUGCCCACUUUGAUAAUUCUCUCUUAUGCAGAGAGCUCCAUUAGAGGUGAGGUGGGGAAUAUGGCUAGGACAAAUGUGGCAGAGAACAGGGAGCUCAUUGGGUGUUCAGGGCAGGAAAUGGCCUGAGGAUGGUGGCUGACUAGCAGGGUGGGCUGGAGGAGAGAUGGGUGUAGGAUGCUAGCGACCUGCUGGAAGGAGCACUGCUGGAAGGAGCAGUGAAGUAAAGAGAAGCUGUAGGCAAGAAACCUCAGUGGGGAGGCUGGCCAGCACUUAGACAAGGGUGAGAGAGAAGCUAGAUAUAACUGUCAGGUGUUGUUGAGCUGUGUGCUUACACCAGGGAGAUCUGUGAACAGAACUGGGAGAAUCCUAGAGAGCUGGCCUCUUUCGUGACACUUACUAUGUUCUGCCUUGUGUUUUCUUUUCCUCCUGCUUUUCUUACCCUCACCGCAAGGGCAAGGAGUGUGUCUUACUCAUCUUGGCAUCACACACUGUCCUAUAUGCUGUAGGGCAUAUAACAGGUGCUCAGGCAGUACUUACACUGAGUUAUUUUGGAUCAGUUGGGCCUGAGAAACAGACGUGCCGCCUUUGAUCCCAUUCGUUCUAGAAUCAUCCCUUCCCUCCACAUGCUGGUUCAGCUCUUCCAGUCCUCAGUCAGGCAGAUGCUAUUCCCGGGCUUCUCAUUAGCAAGACAACAUAUGCUUGUCAAAUCGUCAUGUUAGCAAGUCAUGAAAGCCUGAACAUAGUCAGAGGCUGUGUCAAGUUCAGAGUUAGCUAGGCAUUUCUCUGGGGCACACAGAAGGAAGUUUCUCUAGAGGCCAGAGAAGUAACCACUAGUAACCAAUUAAUCAUUGCAAACUGUCACCUGCCUCCUUUAUAUCUCCUGAGGCAGUUACUAUAUGAUCCUCACUAAAUACUUCAGGCAUCAAUAAAUGCCUGUGGGGAGGGGGAGAGCAAGUGAGCUGCGCUCAAAAUUAAACAUUCACCCAAACAUUUAUUGAGCACGUUCUACGAUGUGUGGACACAGGCCUUACAUGUACCCUAUUUUCAGAGGUCAGCUUCAAGGUUAUAUUUUCCCAGAAGCCUCUGGACACCCCUCAUUUGGAUUAGGGCUGUCACAGCACCCGGAACUUACUUUAGCCUAUCAUUUAUAAAAUGGCAUUUUAAAGGCCUGUUUUCUGGUCUGCGUGUUCUUCUAAACUGGAAGCUCUUUGAAGGCAAAAACCCAGAUUGUGUCCUCAGCGUUGACCCCAUAGCCUUGUACAACACAGGCACCACCCAGUUAACGAUUGCGGAAUUAAAUCACACAGUGCUGUAGAGUGCCCAGUGGAACCCGAGGAUAUCAGGGGAACGCUUCUCUGAGUUGGAUCUGGAUGUCAGAAGAGUAAGUGGUCAGUUCACCAGGUAAAGCGAUCGGAGAAUUCCAGCUAGGGAACAGGCGUGUGCAAAGUUCGGAAGGCAUACUGGAGAAAGGUGUGAAAUUCUGUGGUUACAGCACGGCAGUAUUACCUGGAAAGCAAGGGCGCUGGAGACGAGAGGCAGCAGAACCCCGCACCCGUUAGGGUCAAGUGCAUAAAACAUAGGUAAAGGCCGCAACCACUGCCAGAGGACAAAGGUGCCAACCUUCAAACCCCGAGAACCAGAGACCCCACUGGGAGCGCCUCGCACCUCGCCUUGUCCGCAGCACGUGCCGCCCGCCCGCCGCGCACCCCGGCCAGCUUGCGGCCGAGGGGAGUCCCGGGGCGCCCAGGGAGGGCCGCCCGGGGCGGGGCGCGCAGG